CUUGUUUCCAAACUCCAUCCAAUCAGCAUACUGCGCUUUAAUAUUUCCCAAGUGGAUGGCCUAGCAGUAUUAUAAUUACCCGUGUGGAUGUUCAGGUUGCUAGGUAGUCUAUAAUCAUUUAAUUACUUUUCAUCUGAAGCAAGGGAGUCUUCAUUUAGAAUGGCUGUCAUCGUACCAUGAGACCAAGAAUCAGCAAGUGAAUCUCUCUUAUUCUUGAUUCUUUAAUAAAUUAUCCAAUAUAUAUUUGUCAGAUAGUCAUGGAAUCCUAAACAAAUCAUAUAUCUGUAUGCAAAAAGAUGCACACCUUAGUUAAUAAGUCAAAUCACUUUAUUAUACAGUAUAGACAAAAUAAACAAGACCAAAACAAGUAAAAACAAGUAAAAAUAACAAAACUGCAAUCCUACAAAAACUAGUGAUAAAGGCUAUAUAGCAUACACAUAAAUGAUAAAGGCAUAGAAGCUAAGUAGCAUUGUACCUCAGUGGGCUGGACACAUGUAUCAAACAUACCACAAUGCUUUGGCACAGUUAGUAGUGCCUUUCUCAAGGACCCACUGAUGCCAACCAGUACUUAGAGAGCAUUUUCCAGUUCAUUACCAUAGCAACUUCACCAGGCCCUGUGAAAGGCCAAUGUAUGUGCACUUCACAUGCAAUCAUCUGAGAUAGAUACUUUUAGUACACUUCGUUGCACACAUAUGGUAGGUAUUUAUUGAAAACAACAUACAACAUGCACAUACAGUGAGGGAAAAUAGUAUUUGAUCCCCUGCUGAUUUUGAUAGUUUGCCCUCUGACAAAGAAAUGAUCAGUCUAUAAUUUUAAUGGUAGGUAUAUUUUACCAGUGAGAGACAGAAUAACAAAAAAAAA